rfam:Aedes aegypti strain Liverpool supercont1.3 genomic scaffold, whole genome shotgun sequence.
UGCCCAGCAACUCCUAUCCCUACCUCCUCGUGGUGCUGGCCGGGGUACGAGUAACCUUGGGGAAGAUCGGGUAACCAACCCCCGGUGGGAACUUUGGUCGUAUGCUGACAGGGAAGG